UCUGGGAAAGUAAUUAAUGAGCUGGAAGAUGUUGCUGGAGGCUGAACUCAUCGCUUACUUCACUCAACUUCUUCAGGCCAGAGGUGAGGCGUGUUUAAAAGACAAGGUGGCCAAGUGAAGAUGAUUUCAUACCAGGGGAAAGGAAUGCCUUGUAUGGGCUUUGGCUAAAACCCACAACCACCACCAUGAAGGCAACAGCUCACCUCACACCCACACAGAGCUAAAACAACUCAGACACUGAUAAGUUGGUCAACAUCACACCCUGGUGGCCUGAAAGAGAAGCAAACAGAAAGCUUGAAUUGCAACUCACCACAGGUGUAGAUGACACUGAGGUACUUCCUGGUGCCAGCGUAACACGGAUCUCCAAAGUCUCUGGUGGAGGCUUUCACCUGACAGCUCUUCUUCCCCUGGCAGCGGGCUGUAAGAACCUGCAAGGCCACGGACGACUGGCAUUCUGGUGGGGGAGGGAGAU